GACGAACGCUGGCGGCGUGCUUAACACAUGCAAGUCGAACGGACAGGCCCUGCUUUUGUGGGGUGCUCGAGUGGCGAACGGGUGAGUAACACGUGAGUAACCUGCCCUUGUCUUUGGGAUAACUUCAGGAAACUGGGGCUAAUACCGGAUAGGAGCUCCUGCUGCAUGGUGGGGGUUGGAAAGUUUCGGCGGUUGGGGAUGGACUCGCGGCUUAUCAGCUUGUUGGUGGGGUAGUUGCUUACCAAGGCUUUGACGGGUAGCCGGCCUGAGAGGGUGACCGGCCACAUUGGGACUGAGAUACGGCCCAGACGCCUACGGGAGGCAGCAGUGGGGAAUAUGGCAGAAUGGGCGGAAGCCAGAUGCAGCAACGCCGCGUGCGGGAUGACGGCCUUCGAGUUGUAAACCGCUGUCGCCGGAGACGAAGAGGGAGUGACGGUAAUGGGUAAAGAAGCAACGGCUAACUACGUG
rnacentral:rRNA from 1 species